rnacentral:rRNA from 1 species
AACGAACGCUGGCGGCAUGCCUAACACAUGCAAGUCGAACGAUGCCUUCGGGCAUAGUGGCGCACGGGUGCGUAACGCGUGGGAAUCUGCCUUUCGGUUCGGAAUAACUCAGGGAAACUUGAGCUAAUACCGGAUAACGUCGCAAGACCAAAGAUUUAUCACCGAAAGAUGAGCCCGCGUAGGAUUAGCUAGUUGGUGAGGUAAAGGCUCACCAAGGCGACGAUCCUUAGCUGGUCUGAGAGGAUGAUCAGCCACACUGGGACUGAGACACGGCCCAGACUCCUACGGGAGGCAGCAGUGGGGAAUAUUGGACAAUGGGCGAAAGCCUGAUCCAGCAAUGCCGCGUGAGUGAUGAAGGCCUUAGGGUUGCAAAGCUCUUUUACCCGGGAAGAUAAUGACGGUACCGGGAGAAUAAGCCCCGGCUAACUCCGUG